rnacentral:tRNA from 1 species
UGCAAGGUAGAGUUCUGGUGAACUCGGUGGUCUCAUAAGUCACUUUAUUUGGGUUCGAUUCCCUCCCUUGCAA